GCCGGCGUAGCUCAGUUGGUAGAGCAGUGGUUUUGUAAACCACGGGUCGGGGGUUCAAAUCCUCUCGCCGGCU
rnacentral:tRNA from 1 species